AUAUAAAUAGUUUAAGGUUUAAAAUGUUGAUUUGUGGGGUCAGAGAUUUAAUAUAGAGUAAUUUAUAUC
rnacentral:tRNA from 1 species